CACGUAGGGCACAAGCGUUGUCCGGAAUUAUUGGGCGUAAAGAGCUCGUAGGCGGUCUGUUGCGUCCGCUGUGAAAACCCGGGGCUUAACCCUGGGCUGGCAGUGGAUACGGACAGACUAGAGGUAGGUAGGGGAGAAUGGAAUUCCCGGUGUAGCGGUGAAAUGCGCAGAUAUCCGGAGGAACACCAGUGGCGAAAGCGGCCACCUGGACUGUACCUGACGCUCCAACGCGAAAGCUAGGGGAGCGAACGGG
rnacentral:rRNA from 1 species